UGGCGGACGGGUGGAGUAAUGUCUGGGAAACUGCCGGAUGGAGGGGGGUAACUACUGGAAACGGUAGCUAAUACCGCAUAACGUCGCAAGACCAAAGAGGGGGACCUUAGGGCCUCUUGCCAUCGGAUGUGCCCAGAUGGGAUUAGCUUGUUGGUGGGGUAACGGCUCACCAAGGCGACGAUCCCUAGCUGGUCUGAGAGGAUGACCAGCCACACUGGAACUGAGACACGGUCCAG
rnacentral:rRNA from 1 species